rnacentral:rRNA from 1 species
CAAAUUGCGGGGGCUAUACAUGCAAGUCGAGCGGACAGAUGGGAGCUUGCUCCCUGAUGUUAGCGGCGGACGGGUGAGAAACACGUGGGUAACCUGCCUGUAAGACUGGGAUAACUCCGGGAAACCGGGGCUAAUACCGGAUGGUUGUUUGAACCGCAUGGUUCAAACAUAAAAGGUGGCUUCGGCUACCACUUACAGAUGGACCCGCGGCGCAUUAGCUAGUUGGUGAGGUAACGGCUCACCAAGGCGACGAUGCGUAGCCGACCUGAGAGGGUGAUCGGCCACACUGGGACUGAGACACGGCCCAGACUCCUACGGGAGGCAGCAGUAGGGAAUCUUCCGCAAUGGACGAAAGUCUGACGGAGCAACGCCGCGUGAGUGAUGAAGGUUUUCGGAUCGUAAAGCUCUGUUGUUAGGGAAGAACAAGUACCGUUCGAAUAGGGCGGUACCUUGACGGUACCUAACCAGAAAGCCACGGCUAACUACGUGCCAGCAGCCGCGGUAAUACGUAGGUGGCAAGCGUUGUCCGGAAUUAUUGGGCGUAAAGGGCUCGCAGGCGGUUUCUUAAGUCUGAUGUGAAAGCCCCCGGCUCAACCGGGGAGGGUCAUUGGAAACUGGGGAACUUGAGUGCAGAAGAGGAGAGUGGAAUUCCACGUGUAGCGGUGAAAUGCGUAGAGAUGUGGAGGAACACCAGUGGCGAAGGCGACUCUCUGGUCUGUAACUGACGCUGAGGAGCGAAAGCGUGGGGAGCGAACAGGAUUAGAUACCCUGGUAGUCCACGCCGUAACGAUGAGUGCUAAGUGUUAGGGGGUUUCCGCCCCUUAGUGCUGCAGCUAACGCAUUAAACACUCCGCCUGGGGAGUACGGUCUCAAAGAC